rnacentral:rRNA from 1 species
UCGAUUGAGUUUGAUCAUGGCUCAGGACGAACGCUGGCGGCGUGCCUAACACAUGCAAGUGGAGCGACGAACCAGGCUUCGGCCUGGGGCAAAGCCGCGAACGGGUGAGUAACACGUGGGUUACCUGCCCCGAUGAUCGGGACAACCCGAGGAAACUCGGGCUAAUACCGAAUGUGCCCUCCGGCCACAAGGCCGCUGGGGAAAGGAAGCUUCGGCCUCCGCAUCGGGAUGGGCCCGCGGCCCAUUAGCUUGUUGGUGAGGUAACGGCUCACCAAGGCGACGAUGGGUAGCUGGUCUGAGAGGACGAUCAGCCAUACUGGGACUGAGACACGGCCCAGACUCCUACGGGAGGCAGCAGUGGGGAAUCUUGCGCAAUGCGCGAAAGCGUGACGCAGCAACGCCGCGUGGGGGAAGACGGCCUUCGGGUUGUAAACCCCUUUCAGUAGGGACGAAGCUUCGUCGGUGAACAGCCGGCUGGAGUGACGGUACCUUCAGAAGAAGCCCCGGCUAACUACGUGCCAGCAGCCGCGGUAAUACGUAGGGGGCAAGCGUUGUCCGGAAUCAUUGGGCAUAAAGAGCGUGUAGGCGGCUCGGUAAGUCCGCUGUGAAAGUCCAGGGCUCAACCCUGGAAUGCCAGUGGAAACUGUCGAGCUAGAGUCCGGAAGAGGCGAGUGGAAUUCCUGGUGUAGCGGUGAAAUGCGCAGAUAUCAGGAGGAACACCAAUGGCGAAGGCAGCUCGCUGGGACGGUACUGA